ACGAGUGGCGAACGGGUGAGUAACACGUAGGAAUCUACCCAGAAGUGGGGGACAACCCGGAGAAAUCCGGGCUAAUACCGCAUACGCCCUAAGGGGUAAAGCGGGGGACCUUUUCGGAGGCCUCGCGCUUUUGGAUGAGCCUGCGUCGGAUUAGCUUGUUGGUGAGGUAAUGGCUCACCAAGGCAACGAUCCGUAGCUGGUCUGAGAGGAUGACCAGCCACACUGGGACUGAGACACGGCCCAG
rnacentral:rRNA from 1 species